CAGCCGCCGCGGUAACACGAAGGGUGCAAGCGUUACUCGGAAUUACUGGGCGUAAAGCGUGCGUAGGUGGUGGUUUAAGUCCGUUGUGAAAGCCCUGGGCUCAACCUGGGAAUUGCAGUGGAUACUGGGUCACUAGAGUGUGGUAGAGGAUAGUGGAAUUUCCGGUGUAGCAGUGAAAUGCGUAGAGAUCGGAAGGAACAUCUGUGGCGAAGGCGACUAUCUGGGCCAACACUGACACUGAGGCACGAAAGCGUGGGGAGCAAACAGGAUUAGAUACCCGAGUAGUCCCUGUCUCUUAUAC
rnacentral:rRNA from 1 species